UCCUAAANCGAUGCCGACUCGGGAUCGGUGGAGCGUUGGAUGACUCCAUCGGCACCGUAGGAGAAAUCAAAGUGUUUGGGUUCUGGGGGGAGUAUGGUCGCAAGGCUGAAACUUAAAGGAAUUGACGGAAGGGCACCACCAGGAGUGGAGCCUGCGGCUUAAUUUGACUCAACACGGGAAAACUUACCAGGUCCGGACAUAGGGAGGAUUGACAGAUUGAGAGCUCUUUCUUGAUUCUAUGG
rnacentral:rRNA from 1 species